CACCAAUAUACCCCACAGCAGCUCCAGGAGCCCAGACACCGGCGGCCAGAAGCAAGGCUAGGAGCUGCUGCAGCCAUGUCGGCCCUCAGCCUCCUCAUUCUGGGCCUGCUCACGGCAGUGCCACCUGCCAGCUGUCAGCAAGGGAGCCUGCGCACAUGAUCCUGACCGUCGGAAACAAGGCAGAUGGAGUCCUGGUGGGAACGGAUGGAAGGUACUCUUCGAUGGCGGCCAGUUUCAGGUCCAGUGAGUAUGAGAAUGCCAAUGAGAAUGUGCCCGAGGAGGAAGGCAAGGUCCGCAGCACCCCGAUGUAAACUUCUCUGUGGCUCCAACCCCAAGACUCCCAGGCACAUGGGAUGGAUGCCCAGUGCUACCACCCAAGCCCCCUCCUUCUUUGUGUGGAAUCUGCAAUAGUGGGCUGACUCCCUCCAGCCCCAUGCCGGCCCUACUCGCCCUUGAAGUAUGGCCAGCCAAGGUUGGAGCUCAGACCGUGUCUAGGUUGGGGCUCGGCUGUGGCCCUGGGGUCUCCUGCUCAGCUCAGAAGAGCCUUCUGGAGAGGACAGUCAGCUGAGCACCUCCCAUCCUGCUCACACGUCCUUCCCCAUAACUAUGGAAAUGGCCCUAAUUUCUGUGAAAUAAAGACUUUUUGUAUUUCUGGGGCUGAGGCUCAGCAACCGCCCCUCAGGCUUCCA
rnacentral:sRNA from 1 species